UAAGCCGUUGAAGGUGAAUCGUAAGGUUUGCUGGAGGUAUCAGAAGUGCGAAUGCUGACAUGAGUAACGACAAAGGGGGUGAAAAACCUCCUCGCCGGAAGACCAAGGGUUCCUGUCCAACGUUAAUCGGGGCAGGGUGAGUCGACCCCUAAGGUGAGGCCGAAAGGCGUAAUCGAUGGGAAACGGGUUAAUAUUCCCGUACUUCUGACUAUUGCGAUGGGGGGACGGAGAAGGCUAGGUGGGCCAGGCGACGGUUGUCCUGGUUCAAGUGCGUAGGCUUGAGAGUUAGGUAAAUCCGGCUCUCUCUAAGGCUGAGACACGACGUCGAGCUGCUACGG
rnacentral:rRNA from 1 species